rnacentral:rRNA from 1 species
GACAGAGGGUGCAAACGUUUGUUCGGAAUUACUGGGCGUAAAGCGUGUGUAGGCGGCUUGGCAAGUCGGAUGUGAAAGCCCCGGGCUCAACCCGGGAAGUGCACUCGAUACUGCCGAGCUUGAGUAUCGGAGAGGUGGGUGGAAUUCUCGGUGUAGAGGUGAAAUUCGUAGAUAUCGAGAGGAACACCGGCGGCGAAGGCGGCCCACUGGACGAAUACUGACGCUGAGACACGAAAGCGUGGGGAGCAAACAGG